rnacentral:rRNA from 1 species
UGACUNGAGUGCAGAAGGGGAGAGUGGAAUNCCAUGUGUAGCGGUGAAAUGCGUAGAUAUANGGAGGAACACCAGUGGCGAAAGCGGCUCUCUGGUCUGUCACUGACGCUGAGGCUCGAAAGCGUGGGUAGCGAACAGGAUUAGAUACCCUGGUAGUNCACGCCGUAAACGAUGAGUGCUAGGUGUUAGGCCCUUUCCGGGGCUUAGUGCCGGAGCUAAGGCAAUAAGCACUCCGCCUGGGGAGUACGACCGCAAGGUUGAAACUCAAAGGAAUUGACGGGGGCCCGCACAAGCGGUGGAGCAUGUGGUUUAAUUCGAAGCAACGCGAAGAACCUUACCAGGUCUUGACAUCCCGAUGCUAUUCUUAGAGAUAGGAAGUUACUUCGGUACAUCGGAGACAGGUGGUGCAUGGUUGUCGUCAGCUCGUGUCGUGAGAUGUUGGGUUAAGUCCCACAACGAGCGCAACCCUUAUUGUUAGUUGCCAUCAUUAAGUUGGGCACUCUAGCGAGACUGCCGGUAAUAAACCGGAGGAAGGUGGGGAUGACGUCAAAUCAUCAUGCCCCUUAUGGCCUGGGCUACACACGUGCUACAAUGGUCGGUACAACGAGUUGCGAGCCGGUGACGGCAAGCUAAUCUCUGAAAGCCGAUCUCAGUUCGGAUUGGAGGCUGCAACUCGCCUCCAUGAAGUCGGAAUCGCUAGUAAUCGCGGAUCAGCACGCCGCGGUGAAUACGUUCCCGGGCCUUGUACACACCGCCCGUCACACCACGAGAGUUUGUAACACCCGAAGUCGGUGAGGUAACCUUUUAGGGGCCAGCCGCC